CUGACAGGAGGCUUCUGGCUGCAAAGGGAAGUAUUCCAAUUGGAAUUGGUAGGAAUUCACACAUCAAAAGAGCAAUCAUUGACAAGAAUGCUCGUAUUGGGAAUGAUGUGAAGAUCAUUAACCGUGAAAAUGUUCAAGAAGCAGCUAGGGAAACUGAAGGAUAUUUCAUUAAAAGUGGAAUCGUCACAAUCAUCAAGGAUGCAUUGAUUCCCAGUGGAAC